rnacentral:piRNA from 1 species
UGCACUCCAUUAGUGUGGCUUCAACAA